rnacentral:rRNA from 1 species
CGCGGCCUAUCAGCUUGUUGGUGGGGUAGUGGCUUACCAAGGCUUUGACGGGUAGCCGGCCUGAGAGGGUGACCGGCCACAUUGGGACUGAGAUACGGCCCAGACUCCUACGGGAGGCAGCAGUGGGGAAUAUUGCACAAUGGGCGGAAGCCUGAUGCAGCAACGCCGCGUACGGGAUGACGGCCUUCGGGUUGUAAACCGCUUUCGCCUGUGACGAAGCGUGAGUGACGGUAAUGGGUAAAGAAGCACCGGCUAACUACGUGCCAGCAGCCGCGGUGAUACGUAGGGUGCGAGCGUUGUCCGGAUUUAUUGGGCGUAAAGGGCUCGUAGGUGGUUGAUCGCGUCGGAAGUGUAAUCUUGGGGCUUAACCCUGAGCGUGCUUUCGAUACGGGUUGACUUGAGGAAGGUAGGGGAGAAUGGAAUUCCUGGUGGAGCGGUGGAAUGCGCAGAUAUCAGGAGGAACACCAGUGGCGAAGGCGGUUCUCUGGGCCUUUCCUGACGCUGAGGAGCGAAAGCGUGGGGAGCGAACAGGCUUAGAUACCCUGGUAGUCCACGCUGUAAACGGUGGGUACUAGGUGUGGGGUCCAUUCCACGGGUUCCGUGCCGUAGCUAACGCUUUAAGUACCCCGCCUGGGGAGUACGG